CCCAGCCGUAACUCAGGUGAGGACUUCGUAGCCGGUGCUUUCUGUUCCGUCCAUGGUAGAGAAUAUCAAGUCCGCAAUAGCAUUUCUAGAAAGCUUUCUCUCUCCUAUUGAGAAAUAAUAUAUGGAUGAGCAAAGGACCCAACAAAGGAUGAUGAGUGCUCUGAGAUCUCUUGAUCAAGUAGAGUGUCUUCGGAUCUCUUCUUUUAAUCUUUCGUGACUCGCAGCACCUAACGAUUGUAUAUCCAUUUGUAUAGGUUGGGCAUUACUUAGCCAGUUUCGUUGACUCUACCCCUGAAGCCUCAAUGUUGGAGUUUGCUACAGUAAG
rnacentral:lncRNA from 1 species